AACUCCUACGGAAGCAGCAGUUGGGGGAAUUUUGCGCCAAUGGGCGAAAGCCUGACGCAGCGACGCCGCGUGCGGGAAUGAAGGCCCUCGGGUCGUAAACCGUUGUCGCCGAGGGACGAAAAUGCAGGGGAUGAAUAAGCCCUGAACUGACGGUACCUCGUGCGAAAGGCCCCGGCUAACUCCGUGCCAGCAGCCGCGGUAGUACGGGGGGGCUAGCGUUGUUCGGAAUCACUGGGCGUAAAGGGUUCGUAGGCGGCCAUGCAAGUCCUGGGUGAAAGCCCCCGGCUCAACUGGGGAAUUGCCUAGGAAACUGCGUGGCUCGAGUUCGGUAGAGGGAGAUGGAAUUCCGGGUGUAGCGGUGAAAUGCGUAGAUAUCCGGAGGAACACCAGUGGCGAAGGCGAUCUCCUGGGCCGAUACUGACGCUGAGGAACGAAAGCUAGGGGAGCAAACAGGAUUAGAUACCCUGGUAGUCCUAGCCCUAAACGAUGGGCACUUGGUGUGCCGACCCA
rnacentral:rRNA from 1 species